ACCUCUUUUGCUAAAUAUCAUCCCCACCGGGCUGAUUGUGUGCUGCUUUUGCAUCGGUUUAGCUACAAUAACGUUCAGGGAUGCCGCGUUUAGCAGCUGCAUCUGUUGCAGCUGUUGGCUCAGCAUCCUUUUGUAUCCCGGCUCGAGAGUCAAACAGCUGGAUGCUCAGCAGCACCCUCCCUCCUCUCUUUGUCACUGCCUCUGCCCAAUAGUGGUGGAACGAGCUCGCCGGUGACACCAGGACAGCAGAAAGUCUCUACAUCUUCCACCAGAAACUAAAAAAACGUCUUUUUCGACUUUACCUUGAAUAAAAACAGAUUUGCACUUCAGUGGCACUUAAAUAGCA